CCUGCCUGGCCGCCCCGCGCGGGGUCCUGAGGCGCCUCGGGGAAACUCUGCGAUUGGUUGCAGCUUGUGGCUGGAGUUCGGCUCCAGCAGCGCUUGACAACCGCAGUCUGCCAAAGACUGAACUGGGCGGUCGCCGGCCCGGGAGGGGCGGAGGCGAGAAGGACGGGCUGACGAACUGAUGGACUGACGCGCGGGUGGCUGGAGGGAGGACCGACGCCAACCCCUUACCGCCGCCCUUGCGCUCCUUCCCCAGCCCGGAGCCGGCAGCUUCGGGCCCCAGCCGUCGGCCUCGCAGCUGCGUUCCCUUCGCCACUUCUGCGGGCUCAUCUCGGAGCCCUCAGGUGAGAGACUACGGGAGGCGGGG
rnacentral:lncRNA from 1 species